CUUAGUGGCGGACGGGUGAGUAACGCGUGGGAAACCUGCCUUAUACUGGGGGAUAGCAGUUGGAAACGACUGAUAAUACCGCAUAAGCGCACAGCUUCGCAUGAAGCAGUGUGAAAAACUCCGGUGGUAUAGGAUGGUCCCGCGUCUGAUUAGCUAGUUGGUGAGGUAACGGCCCACCAAGGCAACGAUCAGUAGCCGGCCUGAGAGGGUGUACGGCCACAUUGGGACUGAGACACGGCCCAAACUCCUACGGGAGGCAGCAGUGGGGAAUAUUGGACAAUGGGGGAAACCCUGAUCCAGCGACGCCGCGUGAACGAAGAAGUAUUUCGGUAUGUAAAGUUCUAUCAGCAGGGAAGAUAAUGACGGUACCUGACUAAGAAGCACCGGCUAAAUACGUGCCAGCAGCCGCGGUAAUACGUAUGGUGCAAGCGUUAUCCGGAUUUACUGGGUGUAAAGGGUGCGUAGGUGGAAUGGUAAGUCAGAUGUGAAAACCAUGGGCUCAACCCAUAGCCUGCAUUUGAAACUGUCGAUCUAGAGUGCAGGAGAGGAAAGUGGAAUUCCUAGUGUAGCGGUGAAAUGCGUAGAUAUUAGGAGGAACACCAGUGGCGAAGGCGGCUUUC
rnacentral:rRNA from 1 species